CUGUGCCACCUGUCACUCCAUCGAUCAUCAGGGCUGAUUCAACUGCGCUGGCUGGCUAUGCAGGUGUCC
rnacentral:sRNA from 1 species